UCUUGCCGAUCUAGCAAUCGCCGAGCAGGCUGACCUUGAGGCUGCGUCCUUGACAUCCGGCGCCUUGCGGUCGGCGGCGGCGCCACCGUCGUCCCUGGGGAGCAGGGACAGAACGGCCCCGUUGGCUAUGCGCUGCGGUGGCGUCGAGGAAACUGGGGUGGGGGUAUGGGGAGUGGGAGCGGCGACGGCGGCGAGGAGGCGGGGAAUCGCCGUGAUGGGAUGGACCACGAAGGAGAGGGAGAAGGCGGCGGCGUCGCGUGGCAGUUGGAGUGUUGGACGGAGGCGGUGGCGUCGAGGAAAGUGGCGCCGUGGGUUGGGGGGUGUGGGGCGACGGACGGAGGAGGCAUGGAUUCCGCUGCAGGCGGGGCAGGGCGGUCGCCGGUGGCAGGGCGCGAUGGCGACGGUCGUCGGCGGCAGGGCGAUGCGCGACGGAGUGUGGGCGGAGUGGGCGGCAGACGCGGAGAAAAAGGAGUGGGGGAGGCGCCGCUCGAUAAGGGCAACCACAAUGUGCUUAAAAAGCAGGUAAUAAACAAUAAAUGCACUCGUCCAACCAGGUAAUAGCCAUUGUGGGGGCAGAUAACAGCAAGAAUCAGGCAGUAGUGUUACUGCCGGCAAGAGACAAAUAAAAUAUAGCAUGUGUACAGUGAUUUUAGAGAGUUGCACUAAAAUAAUAGAGUAGCAGUUAGCCGUUACAUUUGUAGCAAUUGUAACUUGUUGCAACAACGCUACAACCUCAUCCCUCUACAAAUACAAACACAACUCAGUCAUUUUCUGUAUUUCAUCAAAUAAGAUGGAUCCUCCCAACAGAGGUUUUAUGCACAUGCUUAGCUAGGGCUCCCAAAGCCAAACUUCUGGAAAUGGUAGCCAAAACUCCACUUCUCCACAGUUCCCCUCAAUAUUCUCCCAAUCCCAGUUUUCUCAAUCCUCAACACCCACUUUUCAGAACUUCCAUCCUUUUGGGGCUCCAAACAACUAUCAACCAUAUGGCAAUUCUACUCCAAGCUUCCACGGUUUUCAGCAGCAAGCACAUUGGUUACACUCUACACCAGUGAGUUUUCAAGGUUUUCGUCCUCCGGAAAAUUGGGUGUACUCACCUAAUCAAAUUACUGGGUCUGCUUCUUCCCACGGAUCAGAAUCAGCCUCUCAGUGCCCUGCAAGAUAUGAAGAGAACAAUGUGGUUGAUAUCGAAGAGUCAAGUGACAACAGUCAAGAGGCAGGGAGGAGAGGAACACGAGUCAACUGGACUGAAGAGGAAAACAUAAGACUCCUUAGCUCUUGGCUGAAUAAUUCAGUGGAUCCUAUAAAUGGUAAUGAUAAGAAGGCAGAAUACUAUUGGAAGGCUGUAGCUGUAGAGUUUAAUAGCAAUACAUCUAGAAGUAACCGCAAAAGGACAGUUGUGCAAUGCAAGACACAUUGGGGUGGUGUUAAGAAGGAAAUUGGAAAAUUUUGUGGAGCUUAUUCUCGAGCUAGAAGCACCUUCAGUAGUGGAUAUUCUGAUGAUAUGAUCAUGGAGAAAGCUCAUAUUAUGUUUAAGUCAGAAAACAAUGAAAAACCUUUCACAUUGGAGUAUAUGUGGAGAGAACUGAAAGAUCAACCAAAAUGGCGAAGGGUCUUAGAAGAAGAUAGUAAGAAUAAGAGGACUAAGAUCUCUGAAUCAGGUGCAUACACAUCAUCGUCCAACCAAGACACGGAGGAGGAGAACAGACGCAAAAAGGAGAACAGACGCAAAAAGAAGCGCCCUGAGGGACAGAAAAAAGCCAAAGCCAAGUUAAAAGGGAGAGGUAAAAAUGUCGCACCUUCUCCUUUGGGAGACCAGCCAUGUCAAGACUUUGUUCUUUACAAUGAAGCUAUAAAAGUGAAAGCAGAAGCGAUGCUGAAAUCUGCAGAAGCAACAUCGAAAUCAGCUGAAGCAAAGAAGGAAUACACAAGAAUGGAGAAGUAUCAGACAUACUUAAAAUUGUUGGACAAAGACACUUCAAAUUUUAGUGAUGCAAAACUGAAGAGGCAUGAAGCUGUCCUCGAAAAGCUAGCUACAGAACUUGCUGAAGAAUAAAUGAUCACCAAGUGAUGUUGUAUCCCUGUUACUUAGUGUGCCACUAUGUGGUCUAUGAUCAAUUUGCUGCUAGGAUUUAGACUUAGCAAUUAUUAGACUUGUGAACUCAGUGUUAAGUUUGUAGGCUAAGUAAAUGUUGGAUUGUAAACUUAGUGAAUGAUGGUUGUAUCUUUGUACCUGUAGAAGAUGUUAUGUACUGAUAAUAUGUAGCCCACAGUCUUAAUUGAACUUAUUUGAAGUUGUUGGCCCAUAAUUUCUUAGCACUUGAUUUAACA